ACGGAAGGCAGCAGUGAGGAAUAUUGGUCAAUGGACGCAAGUCUGAACCAGCCAUGCCGCGUGCAGGAAUAAGGCCCUAUGGGUCGUAAACUGCUUUUGUGGUGGAGCAAUAAGUCGUACGUGUACGGCGAUGAGGGUACAUCACGAAUAAGCAUCGGCUAACUCCGUGCCAGCAGCCGCGGUAAUACGGAGGAUGCAAGCGUUAUCCGGAUUUAUUGGGUUUAAAGGGUGCGUAGGCUGUGGUCCAAGUCAGGGGUGAAAGCCCGGAGCUCAACUCCGGAACUGCCUUUGAUACUGGAUUGCUGGAAUACGGAUGCCGUGGGAGGAAUGAGUAGUGUAGCGGUGAAAUGCAUAGAUAUUACUCAGAACACCGAUUGCGAAGGCAUCUCACGAAUCCGUCAUUGACGCUGAGGCACGAAAGCGUGGGGAUCAAACAGGAUUAGAUACCCUGGUA
rnacentral:rRNA from 1 species